rnacentral:tRNA from 1 species
GCCCGGGUGGCGGAAUCGGUAGACGCAGCGGGCUUAAAACCCGCCACUUCCGAAAGGGGUGUACGGGUUCGAGUCCCGUCCCGGGCACCA